CCUACGGGAGGCAGCAGUGGGGGAUAUUGCACAAUGGGGGGAACCCCGAUGCAGCGACGCCGCGUGGGUGAAGAAGCGCCUCGGCGCGUAAAGCCCUGUCAGCAGGGAAGAAAAUGACGGUACCUGAAGAAGAAGCCCCGGCUAACUACGUGCCAGCAGCCGCGGUAAUACGUAGGGGGCAAGCGUUAUCCGGAUUUACUGGGUGUAAAGGGGGCGCAGACGGCGAUGCAAGCCAGGAGUGAAAGCCCGGGGCCCAACCCCGGGACUGCUCUUGGAACUGCGUGGCUGGAGUGCAGGAGGGGCAGGCGGAAUUCCUGGUGUAGCGGUGAAAGGCGUAGAUAUCAGGAGGAACACCGGUGGCGAAGGCGGCCUGCUGGACUGCAACUGACGUUGAGGCCCGAAAGCGUGGGGAGCAAACAGGAUUAGAUACCCGAGUAGUC
rnacentral:rRNA from 1 species